UACAGAGGUCUCGAGCGUUAGGCGGAAUCACUGGGCUUAAAGCGUGUGUAGGUGGAUCGUUAAGUACCUUGUGAAAUCCCUCGGCUUAACCGGGGAACUGCGUCUGAUACUGGAUGGCUUGAGUUCGGGAGAGGGAUGCGGAAUUCCAGGUGUAGCGGUGAAAUGCGUAGAUAUCUGGAGGAACACCGGUGGCGAAGGCGGCAUCCUGGACCGACACUGACACUGAGGAGCGAAAGCCAGGGGAGCAAACGGG
rnacentral:rRNA from 1 species